rnacentral:rRNA from 1 species
CAGCAGCCGCGGUAAUACGGGGGUGGCCGACGUUACCCGGUAUACUUGGGCGUAAAGCGUCCGCAGGCGGAUGUAAGAAGAUGUAAAUUUUGCAGCUCAACUGUAAACCCAUAUCUUAAACUGGCAAACUAGAGUAUUGGAGAGGUGCGUAGAAUUCUGUGUGUAGGGGUAAAAUCCGUAGAUACACAGAGGAAUACCAAAAGCGAAGGCAGCGCACUGGCCAAUUACUGACGCUCAGGGACGAAAGCGUGGGUAGCGAACGGGAUUAGAUACCCCGGUAGUCCACGCCGUAAACGAUGGAUACUAGGUGUUGGGAGACUCGACCCUCUCAGUGCCGACGCUAACGCAUUAAGUAUCCCGCCUGGGGAGUACGGUCGCAAGAUUAAAACUCAAAGGAAUAGACGGGGACCCACACAAGCGGUGGAGCAUGUGGUUUAAUUCGAUAAUAAGCGAGGAACCUUUACCCAGACUUGACAUCCCGAGAAUUUUCUAGAAAUAGAAAAGUGCCGCAAGGAACUCGGUGACAGGUGCUGCAUGGUUGUCGUCAGCUCGUGCCUUGAGGUGUUCGGUUAAGUCCGUUAACGAGCGCAACCCUUGUCCUGUGUUGUAUAUUUCACAGGAGACUGCCGAUUUUAAAUCGGAGGAAGGUAAGGAUGACGUCAAAUCAGCAUGGCCCUUAUGUCUGGGGCUACACACGUGCUACAAUGGCUGGUACAGAGGGCAGCAAACCCGUAAGGGGGAGCCAAUCCUUAAAACCAGUCUCAGUUCGGAUUGAGGGCUGCAACUCGCCCUCAUGAAGUUGGAAUCGCUAGUAAACGCGUAUCAGCAAUGACGCGUUGAAUAUGUUCCUGGGUCUUGUACUCACCGCCCGUCACAUCACGAAAGGUGGGGGCACCCGAAGUACCGUUAACUUUCGAGUGCGGUCCUAAGGUGAAACCACUGAUUGGGAUGAAGUCGUAACAAGGUAACCGUA